AGGCGCGUCGGGGGCGAGUUUGGCCCCGCGGCUCGGGCCCCGGCACCUGCCCGGUCCUCGAGCUGCGCCCCGGCCCGGGCCCCGCCCCGCCAACCCUCCGCCCCUCCCGCCCCUCGCCUGCACUGCUCUCCUUUCGCCCGGGGGAAGCGACAACGUCCCGAUAACUUGCAGACUGUGGCGCAACUGGUCUCGACACCGGAGGCGCCCGAAUGCUGUCCGGGUGAGGAACCUGGGAAGGAAAACAGUCUCAACAAUGAAUAGGCCACUCAUCACGACCAAUUACAGAUGACUUGCCAUUUCAUUGACAAAGAUGUCGUCUGCUGCUGAGAAUGGAGAUGCAGCACCUGGGAAACAAAACGAAGAAAAAACCUAUAAAAAGAUGUCAGCGGGGUCCUUUCCAAAAUCUUAUUCCUUCGGGGAUUCAAAAUUUAAUCCUAUACCACGGGACAGAGAUUUUUUUAAUGCUCCUUAGAGCAAGAGCACAUGCUUGAGCCUCACCGCAGACCUUCAGAAUCAGAAGUUCUGGAGAUGCAACCCACUGCAUCAUCUGCCAUCAAAGGUGCUAUUCAGCUGGGAAUAGGAUACACAGUGGGUAAUCUCACCUCCAAGCCAGAUCGAGAUGUUCUCAUGCAAGACUUCUAUGUGGUGGAAAGUGUGUUCCUACCCAGUGAAGGGAGCAAUCUGACCCCAGCACAUCACUACCCAGACUUCAGAUUUAAGACAUAUGCUCCACUAGCAUUCCGAUAUUUCAGAGAACUUUUUGGUAUCAAGCCUGAUGAUUACUUGUAUUCCAUAUGCAGUGAACCUCUCAUAGAGCUCUCUAACCCUGGAGCCAGUGGAUCCUUAUUUUUUGUGACCAGUGAUGAUGAAUUUAUCAUCAAAACAGUUCAGCAUAAAGAAGCAGAGUUCCUUCAGAAGCUCCUGCCAGGCUAUUACAUGAAUUUAAACCAGAAUCCAAGGACUCUUUUGCCCAAAUUUUAUGGACUGUAUUGCAUGCAAUCAGGGGGCAUUAACAUCAGAAUUGUGGUGAUGAACAAUGUCUUACCACGCUCCAUGAGAAUGCACUUUACAUAUGACUUGAAAGGCUCAACCUAUAAGCGAAGAGCCUCCCGAAAAGAGAGAGAGAAAUCCAGCCCCACGUUUAAGGACUUAGAUUUCCUGCAAGACAUGCACGAAGGGUUGUAUUUUGAUACAGAAACAUACAAUGCGCUCAUGAAGACGCUUCAGAGAGACUGCCGGGUGCUGGAAAGCUUCAAGAUCAUGGACUAUAGCCUUUUGCUGGGAAUUCACAUCUUGGACCAUUCCCUCAAAGAGAAAGAAGAGGAGAUUUCACAAAAUGUGCCUGAUGCUAAGCGGUCUGGGAUGCAAAAGGUCCUCUACUCAACAGCAAUGGAAUCCAUCCAGGGUCCAGGGAAAUCGGGAGACGGGAUCAUCACAGAGAACCCGGACACAAUGGGAGGCAUUCCAGCUAAAAGCCAUAAGGGAGAAAAGCUACUUUUAUUUAUGGGCAUUAUUGAUAUUCUGCAAUCAUAUAGGUUAAUGAAAAAGUUGGAACAUUCCUGGAAAGCUCUUGUUUAUGAUGGGGACACUGUUUCGGUUCAUAGACCAAGCUUUUAUGCAGACAGAUUUCUAAAGUUUAUGAAUUCCAGAGUUUUCAAGAAAAUUCAAGCUUUGAAGGCCUCACCUUCUAAAAAACGGUGCAACUCCAUUGCCGCCCUGAAGGCAACCUCACAGGAGAUCGUGUCCUCAAUUAGCCAGGAAUGGAAGGAUGAGAAGCGUGAUUUGCUGACCGAAGGGCAAAGUUAUAGCAGCCUCGAUGAAGAAGCAUUGGGAUCCCGACACAGGCCAGACCUGGUGCCUAGCACUCCAUCGCUGUUUGAAGCUGCUUCCUUGGCGACCACAAUUUCAUCUUCUUCCUUGUACGUCAAUGAACAUUAUCCACACGACAGGACCACGCUUUAUUCAAGCAGUAAAGGGUUACCUUCCAGUUCAACCUUUACCUUGGAAGAGGGGACCAUAUACUUGGCUUCUGAGCCAAAUGCUCUGGAAAUGCAGGAUGAUAAUGCCUCCGUGCUUGAUGUCUAUUUAUUCCUCAGGCGACUCCUUUACCUGAUGUAGAAUGCAAUUUGGUGUUAACGGAAAGAGGAACAAGCAACAAAGGCAGUGCAGCUGAAAAAUGUCAUGGUAAGUGAAAAUGGUGACCACAUAAGCAGAUGGAUGAGGCAGGAACACGGUUGUGGGAGAGAAGUUUCUCCACUCCACAAUUUCCCAAAGGAAACUGGGCUGAGCCCCACUACACACAGAGUCAUCAUCAACUGGACUUGGAGCCUGCGAGAUGUCAGGGGAGCCUCGGCUGAGAGGCUGAUCGGCAGAUGUGAUGUGAAAAAUACCACACUCUUCUGUCAUUUGCUGUUGCUUGCUGAACUGUGAAGAACUGCAUGAACUCUAUUUAAGCUGCUUUCUAUACCAUUGCCAAUCACCUUUUUGGACUUGGAAGUGCUAUUUUACUAUUGACACUUGCAUUGUUUCAUUUUGCAUGCAUCCAGUGAUUAUCCAUAAGCAACAUAUGUAAUCUGCUUAUAUAUUUUUAAAAAAUCUAUCCAUGCAAAAUGGUAACGUCUGAAUUAUGCUCUUUUUCAAAGUUAUAAUCAGCCCAUGUCAUUAAAAGUUUAAAUUGGUUUCAUAUAAAGAUCAGUGUAAUAGGUCUGCAUAUACUUUAUAGAAAAUUAGCUUCUAUAAAGAUUUUUUCACUGUUUACUAGUGAAAUGAGAAAAGCAAAGCUAUUUAUAAAAGGCCUUAUGUCGUGUACAUACAUUGUCUUUGAAAUAUUUGUGAUUUAGUUUAUUGCUUGUAAAAGAGAUUAUAUAAUUUAUUUAGUAAAUACUAUUGUAAACUAUAGUUUUAUUGAGAGAAAUAAAAUAUUUUGUUCUCAA